UACGUAGGGUGCGAGCGUUGUCCGGAAUUAUUGGGCGUAAAGGGCUCGUAGGCGGUCUGUUGCGUCAGGAGUGAAAACUCGGGGCUUAACCCCGAGCCUGCUUCUGAUACGGGCAGACUAGAGGUAUGCAGGGGAGAACGGAAUUCCUGGUGUAGCGGUGAAAUGCGUAGAUAUAGCGGAGGAACAGCCGGAUGGACGAAGGCAUCCCGUGGCCUGCACUCGACGCUCAGUGCACGAAAGCGGUGGGGAGCAAACAGG
rnacentral:rRNA from 1 species